ensembl:misc_RNA Metazoa_SRP Metazoan signal recognition particle RNA
GCCGGGUGUGGUAGUGCAUGCCUGUAGUCCCAGUUACUCGGGAGGCUGAGGUGGGAGGAUCACUUGAGCCCAGGAGGUCAAGGCUGCAGUGAGCUGUGAUUGCACCACUGCCUACUGCCCACUGCACUCCAGCCUGGGUGACAGAGUAAGACUCUGUCUCAA